rnacentral:rRNA from 1 species
GACGUAGGAUCCGAGCGUUGUCCGGAGUUACUGGGCGUAAAGCGCGCGCAGGCGGACACGCGCAUCGGCGGUGAAAGCCCCCCGCUCAACGGGGGAGGGUCCGUCGAGAUGGCGUGUCUGGAGGCAGGGAGAGGCCAGUGGAAUUCCGGGUGGUAGUGGUGAAAUGCGUAGAGAUCCGGAGGAACACCAGUGGCGAAGGCGGCUGGCUGGACCUGACCUGACGCUGAGGCGCGAAGGCGUGGGGAGCGAACGGG